rnacentral:rRNA from 1 species
CCCUUAGAUGUUCUGGGCCGCACGCGCGCUACACUGACACGUUCAUCAAGUCUAUAACCUUGACCGAGAGGUCUGGGUAAUCUUUUAAAAACGUGUCGUGCUGGGGAUAGAUUAUUGCAAUUAUUAAUCUUCAACGAGGAAUUCCUAGUAAACGCAAGUCAUCAACUUGCAUUGAUUACGUCCCUGCCCUUUGUACACACCGCCCGUCGCUACUACCGAUUGAAUGCUCAGGUGAGCCAUUCGGACUUUCAUCAUGCUGGUUUCCAGUUUUGAUGAAGGAAAGUCUUGCGAACCUUAUCAUUUAGAGGAAGGAGAAGUCGUAACA